rnacentral:sRNA from 1 species
CACAGAGAGAGAGAAGAGAGAAGA